UACGUAGGGUGCAAGCGUUGUCCGGAAUUAUUGGGCGUAAAGCGCGCGUAGGCGGCCUGGUAAGUCCGCUGUGAAAGUCAAAGGCUCAACCUUUGAAUGUCAGCGGAUACUGCCAGGCUAGAGUCCGGAAGAGGCGAGUGGAAUUCCUGGUGUAGCGGUGGAAUGCGCAGAUAUCAGGAGGAACACCAACGGCGAAGGCAGCUCGCUGGGACGGUACUGACGCUGAGGCGCGAAAGCGUGGGGAGCGAACAGG
rnacentral:rRNA from 1 species